CGCAGGCCCGCAGCACGCGCGCGCACGGCACUUGAGCGGCAGGCGACUCGUCCUCACCGUCUCCGGAGGUGAAGGCGGGGCACCCGCAUGCGGAGCUCAGGAUCGCCUUCAUCCACCCCCGACCUCCGGGCUUCGGGACAGGGAGACUAACAGAAGUCCAAGAUUCCUUUCUCCCGGAUGGAUGGUCCCAGUUGAGUUGGACGUUUUUGGUGGGAAGCGGACAAACCAAAGCAGGUUCCCCUUUGGCACCUAUAUUUUCCUAAACAAAAUUAGUCCUUGCAGGAUGUUUUCCAACAAAAACAAUUACACCAAGACAUAAAUUUGCUACCUGGAACCUGCUAAUCCAUAUAUUCUCCCAUCUGGAUUGUGCACUUGUGCCCAUACUUUAAAGCACAGGAAAGUCUAUUCCUUGCCAUGGGAGCAAUCAAGAGGUUGCUUAGAUCACUGGCUCACUGAUGGUUGACUUGAGCGCUGUUCCGAAUCAUCAGUCGGUGGGUGAUUCAAUCUGUUUAUAGUUUGUUAUGAUUAUUUGAGAACUUUGUUAUGUUGAAAUGUAAAAUCUUAAUAGAACCAGUUCGCUGCUGGCAAAAGUGGACUUGAAGUACUUAUAGAGGUUGUUCUAUACUU